CUCGGGUUUUCGUUCUGACAGUUGAUGUUCCCAGGUCUUCAUUCUGACAGUAGAGGAUCCCAGUUCUACGUUCUGACAGUAGUGGUUCUAAGGUCUGUGUUCUGACAGUACAGGUUCCCAGGUCUAUGUUCUGACAGUAGAGGUUCCCAGAUCUACGUUCUGACAGUAGAGGUUCCCAGAUCUACAUUUUGACAGUAGAGGUUCACAGGUCUUUAUUCUGACAGUACAGG